GGAGCGCGCUGCUGUGCGAGUGGGGUCCGCCGCGCCCUGGCUCUGCCGGUGCCGCCGCCGCCGCCGCCGCCGCCGCCGCCGUCUCGGGGGCCCCGCGCUCGCGCCGCUCCGGCUGCUGCUCUCUCCUGCCGCUGCCGAGGAAACUGACGGCGCUGGAGCGCGGCGGCUGGGCUCGGAGCCCGGGGAGUCAGCUGAUCCAGCCCACCCCGCUCGGCACCCGAGAGAGACCCCUAGCGGAGCCGCCGCGGAGGUGCGCGCGCUCGGCCGGGAGGGGCGGGAGCGGCCGGGAGGGGCCCGCGCCCCCCGCGCGCACAGGUGCGGCGUCCGCGGCUGCUCCGCGGCUGCUCCGCGCCCCGCGCGCCCCCGCCCCGGGGCUCCGCGGGCCUGCGGGAGAGGCUGGGGCGGCGCGAGGGACCGAGCGGGAUCAGGGCAAGAUGGAAAGAACUGGAAAAGAUGCUUGCCAGAGGUGCUGAGAGGGUUUCACAGGGCUGGCCCCUCCUGCAGGAUGGAGGACUACAUCAUGUGGAGAAGAGGAGUCAUUCCCCAGAGCAGCUGCCAGAAGCCACAGCUUGCCAUGGCUUGGGGCCACUGCCAGCAUUCCACAAGGUGACAGACUUUGAGGCUGAGGGAUGUUCUGCUGCAAGAUAUUGAAGACUUUGUCUACACACAUAUCAUAUUUAGGAUUGUCCUUUCAGUUCACCUCUUUAAAGAGAGAGAAGUCUUACUCUUUGGUAAGUAGCUCAACUUUCAAAAUCCUAGCAAAGACUAUAGCCAGAAAUGUGUGUUACCUAACCCUAAAAUGAUAGAGAAGAUUCCAGGCAGAUAUGCUUUAAGUAUUCAUGAACACCUUCUGUAAGUAAACAGCAUCCUGAAUGACAAAGCACACAAACCAACUAACAAAUAAAAGCUUCAUAGGCAUUCAGUAUAUAACUUUUGUCCAUAAGCAAACACCUGACUUUGCUGUAUCCCCCAAAUGUCCCAUGUGAUAUUUAUUCCCAUUAAAGUAAACAUAAGUCCUGGGAAUGCAAGUGUUUAGCAUUGGUGGAUCAAUCAAAUAUUUGUACACCUCCACUGUGGGAAGGAUAAAAACCUGAUACAUUCACUCCCCUUAAAGAGCAUAUGCUUAUGUGAGAAAAAUAUCUGGGGAGAAAAAAAGCAUAGUGAAUGGUGACUGUAGCUAACAAUACCGUAUUGUAUACUUGAAAGUUGCUGAGAGUAGAUCUUAAAAGUUCUCAUCACAAAGGGGAGCCUGGGUGGUUCAGUUGGUUAAGCUUCUGACUCUUGAUAUCGGCUCAGGUCUUGAUCUCUGGGUCAUAAACUCACACUGGGCAUGGAGCCUACAUAAAAAAAAUGUCAUUAUGGUGAUGACAGAUGUUAACCAAACUUACUGUGGUAAUGUUUCACUAUAUAUAUUUCACUAUAUAUAUAUAUAUAUAUAUAUAUAUAUAUAUAUAUAUACACACACACACACGCCUAUAUGUAUAUAUGCAUAGUAAAUAUGAAUAUGUGAAUAUAUAUGUGCAUAUAUGUACAUAUACAUAGUGAAAUUUAUAUAUAUAUUUAUAAAUAAAUGGUCAUCUCCUACAACUAAUAUUGUUACAUGUUAAUUACUUCUCAACUUAAAAUUUUUUUUAAAGAUUUUAUUUAUAUAUUCAUGAGAGAUACAGAGAGAGAAGUAGAGACAUAGGCAGAGGGAGAAGCAGGCUCCAUGCAGGGAGCCCGAUACGGGACUCGAUCCUGGCACUCUAGGAUCAUGCCCUGGGCUGAAGGUGACGCUAAACUGCUGAGCCACCCAGGCUGCCCUAAAUUGUUUUUUUUUUUUUAAAUACAGACAUGGUGGAAAACUUACAUCAGUAAGUACAACUUGAUAUAAAGUAUUUGUGUGUAUGUAUAUGAAUGCAUCAGAAAAAAAUUAGAAUCAUAAUCCUAUAGCACUAAAUAGGGUUAGUCAGGGACAUCAGUAAGAAGGGUUUUGUUUUUUGUUUUUGUUUUUGUUUUUUUUUUUUUUUUGCAGUGGAUUUGAUAGUAACAAUAAAAGGAAAAGAAUAGGGAGCAAGAAGGAGGAUAUUCUAAGGAAGGACCAUGUAAAUACAUCCAGAGUGUUCAUGAUGGAGCUGGUAAUUGGGAGUUAGCUGUGGGGGGCACAGUUAGUGUUUGAGGAGAUGAGGAAUUUAGGUCAGAUAGAAUGGGGGGCAGUGGGCUAAUACUGCUCACUACAGGUUCCUAAUCAGUCUGACAUACUGUGACAUUUCUAGAAAAAGGUCUGUCAGUGGGGAAAGUGGGGCAACUUGGAGGGUGAAAAAGUUGAAUUCGAUUGGGAAAAAUAGGGAGAAUUGCCAGAAGUUUCAGAUAUGACCAUGGAUGGGAUUUGUAUAAAGUGUGAAAAGUCAU
rnacentral:lncRNA from 1 species